GGGCUGUCCAUGACUGUGGCGCGGUCGCGGUGUCAGCGGCAACGACUCGGCGGCGACCCAUUGUAUUCGGCGGCCAUUGCCCCCGCGGGCAGCAUUUGCUGAACAAUCCCGACUGUGCUGAACAUCUGCUGGAGGCACCGGUUUGAGCUGAUGCCCGUGGGGCAGUAGGCGCUGAUGUGGCGAAGUGACUAAAAGUGCUGCUGAGAACAGUCCUGGAUUGAUGGGAGUGCAGGCACCGUUUCUAAAUGACUGGUCUCCCACCCCCUCUCUCUUUCUCUCCCCCCUGGGAUUCUACACUUUCCCUGGAAUUCUACACAGUGGGAACAGCUUCUCUCUGUGGCUCUGUCCAGCCCACUCAUGAUUGUCCAGGACCCUGGCCUCCAUAAGACUGACCGACUUCCAGACUUUGUCAGAAGAAGUUGCCCCACAACUGUGCCAGAAAAUCAAAGGCAAAAGACCUCCUGGAAUAUAUCCAACCAAGUUGGCAACCUUACAGGGUGUGAUGAUCAAUAUUACACAGCAUCUGGUAUAUUUCUGAAACAAAUAAUCAGCUGUAAGUGACAUUUGACAUUAAACAUACAAAUCACACAGGUCACUCCACAUGGCAUUAAACAUGCAGGUCACUCAAUGUGACAUUUAUCACACCAGUCACUGUGACAUUAAACACACAGGUCACUCUAAAUUUGGUAUGGUCAUUAACUUGACACUAAAAAGGGAAACAUUAAUGUUUGGCAUAAUUCAUGCUGUAUUUAAUAAAUAAAAAAGAAUGCGACCCUAAUAAAAUAAUGCUUUCAUAACUCAAUAAGACCAUAUGACAUAGUAGGCCAUUCAGCCCAUCGAGUCAGCUCCAGCAUUCGACAGGAUUGUGGCUGAUUUGAUAAUCCUCAACUCCACUUUCCUGUCUUUUCCCCUUCCUGAGCCCCACAGCAGGAUGGGAGGGAGAAAACAAUAAGGCGGGUACAAAUUCUACACUGUGAAAUUGGGAAUGCACACAGGGAACUGAGGAGGAUAGGAAGGGAAGAAACUUUAAACUGUUUAGCAAGUUAGGAGCAGGGUCUGAGCAAAAUGCUCAAGAAGGAGAAAGGAGUGGAGGAAGACAGAGGGACAAAAGCCCUCACAGGUCAGCUGGAGAGAAGAAUGUUUCCCCCGUCACUUUAACGGGAUUAAAACAUUCUGUGCCAACUCCCUGUUUAUCCUCUAGUAUCAGUACAGCACCCCUAAUUGUCAUGGUUGUAUAUUUUCUUUACCUAACUAAAAUAUCACAGUAUUAAUGGUUUAAUUGGCUUUACGUUUUGAAAGCUGUGAGAAACAGCAGUCUUUAAUUGAGGUUAUUACGUCAUUGGUGAAUUCGAAAAUGUGACUUUUAGAUUGUUUAAUGGAACAGUUAGGAUCAUUGUCAACAAGAGUUAUACUGGGAAUUGUGGGAAUAUGCAACAGUAAUUGUGCAUGUGUCUUUGAUUGACUUUCAAAAGAGAUUAUGAAAGGAACAACUGAGUUGGAAAUGAUCCAUAGUAAGUUAGCCUACGGUGACCAUUUGUGUGUUUUACAGUUGAAGAAAGAAAGUAGAAAGCUGCAGGAAUUAGUAAAAGAGCUGCAGGAUAAAAAUGCUUACCUAUUGGAAAGCACUAUACCUCAUACUAGGAAAAGGCUGCACAUAGAGCCAACACUGUGACUGGUAAAAGUGGAUGUUCAUGUUGAAAUGGACUUAGAAAAAAAUCAAAACAUGCCCAAUAGAAAUCUGUGCUGGGGCUAUUAUCUUGCAAGACCUUGAGAAUAUUGUUGACAGUGCUUCCCCAAUGUUUCAUCCAUGUGUAGUGAGACACAGCUAGUGUGUAAUGUCACCCAUGAGCCAGAAGGACAAAGGAAUAGGACCCUUAGGCACAGUUAGAGACAGGAUCAACAAAUCUCUUAUCCCCAGUAAAGUUAAAGAAAUUUUUUGAAAACUGGAUUGUAUUCACAGAGAAUUACCGUGGCAGUUACAAGGAGAACAUCCGUUACAUUUGACUGAGAUCAGUGCUCAAGCGAGUAGCCCGAAAGCAUCAUUGUUUCAAAACUUCCAAAUCCUUACAAACUUUAAAAUGUCUUUUUAAGCUGCAGAAAAGAUGUGUGAAACAAUGGUUUAGUCAUUUCUGUCAAUGAUUUGGAUGUGAACAUAGAAGGUAUGGUUAGUAAGUUUGCAGAUGACACCAAAAUUGGAGGUGUG